rnacentral:rRNA from 1 species
GAUGAACGCUGGCGGCGUGCUUAACACAUGCAAGUCGAACGGAAAGGCUCCUGCUUGCAGGGGUACUCGCGUGGCGAACGGGUGAGUAACACGUGGGUGUUCUGCCCUGCGCUUCGGGAUAAGCCUGGGAAACUGGGUCUAAUACCGGAUAGGACCACAUGUUGGAUGGGGUGGUGGAGAGUUUUUCGGUGUGGGAUGAGCUCGCGGCCUAUCAGCUUGUUGGUGGGGUAAUGGCCUACCAAGUCGUCGUCGGGUAGCCGGCCUGAGAGGGUGGACGGCGACAUGGGGACUGAGGGACGGAGCAGACGCCAACGUGAGGCAGCAGGCGGGAAUAUGGUACAAUGGGGGCAAGUCUGAUGCAGCGACGCUGCGAUGGGGAUGACGGCCUACGUGUUGGAAAGUGCAUUCGCUAGAGACGAAGCGCAUGUGACGGUACCUGGAGAAGAAGCACCGGCUAACUACGUG